GUGGAAUAUGUGAACUUUGGGUUUUCUUAUACGAACUUAGGCUAAUCUUUGAACUAAUGUUUAAUAGUUCGUAAGUGGCUUAAACUCAUGACUACAUGAUUGAUUAAGAUUGAAUGAUAGGUUUCCAAACUUGAACAAAUUACUUUGCUUUGAAAAUUAUCAAUGUUGGCCGUUUGACACUUGAUACGGACCUUGUCGAAAAUGAUUCUUUAAAGCCGUUUAACUUAUAAAUCUUUCGUGAAUAGCUUUGUAUGAUUAAAUAAAGUUAUGUGAGUGACUUGUUGUGUGUUGGAUAUAAUGUUCAUCAAAAGGU
rnacentral:lncRNA from 1 species